rnacentral:rRNA from 1 species
CCUACGGGUGGCUGCAGUGGGGAAUAUUGGACAAUGGGCGAAAGCCUGAUCCAGCCAUGCCGCGUGUGUGAAGAAGGCCUUCGGGUUGUAAAGCACUUUCAGUGGGGAAGAAAGCCUUGGGGCUAAUACCCUCGAGGAAGGACAUCACCCACAGAAGAAGCACCGGCUAACUCCGUGCCAGCAGCCGCGGUAAUACGGAGGGUGCGAGCGUUAAUCGGAAUUACUGGGCGUAAAGCGCGCGUAGGCGGUCUGAUAAGCCGGUUGUGAAAGCCCCGGGCUCAACCUGGGAACGGCAUCCGGAACUGUCAGGCUAGAGUGCAGGAGAGGAAGGUAGAAUUCCCUGUGUAGCGGUGAAAUGCGUAGAGAUCGGGAGGAAUACCAGUGGCGAAGGCGGCCUUCUGGACUGACACUGACGCUGAGGUGCGAAAGCGUGGGUAGCAAACAGGAUUAGAUACCCUGGUAGUC